rnacentral:rRNA from 1 species
GUGCACCAGGCGCGAAACCUCCGCAAUACACGAAAGUGUGACGGGGCCAUCCCGAGUGCCGUCCGCUGAGGACGGCUUUUCCCCAGUGUACACAGCUGGGGGAAUAAGGAGAGGGCAAGCCUGGUGUCAGCCGCCGCGGUAAUACCAGCUCUCCGAGUGGUGGGGACGCUUAUUGGGCCUAAAGCAUCCGUAGCCGGCUGGGCAAGUCCUCCGUUAAAUCCAACGAUUCAAUCGUUGGGCUGCGGGGGAUACUGUCCAGCUUGGGGGCGGGAGAGGCCGACGGUACUCCCGGUGUAGCGGUGAAAUGCGUAGAUAUCGGAAGGAACGCCAGUGGCGAAAGCGGCUCUCUGGUCUGCAACUGACGCUGAGGCACGAAAGCCAGGGUAGCAAACGGGAUUAGAUACCCGCGUAGU